UUUAAACAUGAGUCCAAGAUGUCUGCGCCCUUGUUGUCAACAUCAAAUAGCGAAGAAGAGGAAAUUACGGCCAGACCUCCUUCAAAACAUCGUAAAAAAGGAUUUUAAAUGCAUCUCACGUCCAUUAAUAAAGAUUAAACAAAGUAUUUUACACGCACAUACAGGAAAUAGUGUCAAACGGUGGCUUGGUUUGCAGGGUAAGAAUCAGAUAAUAGCAGAAACAUACAGACAUUGUCUAGAAAUCGAGUUUGAAAAUGUUCCCGAAGAUGCUGGAUUUCACUCCACUUGCUACAGGCGUUUCAUUGAUAAAAAGCGCUUGGAUGCGGCAGAGAAAGUUCUGAAGUUCAAGAUGCUACACCAGGUUCUUGACAAAGUCUACUGCAACAGUUACAGGUUCCUCAGAAGAACAAAAUGAGCCAACCUUCGAUGCCAGCUACAAGAUCUUCUGUGAGAGGAACAUCCACCAUAGAAUAAUUGUAAACCAAGAGGUGCUGACAUUGAUGCAUCUAAGAAGGAUCUUUUUAUAUUUUGUGAAAAAAUAAAAAAACAUGAAGAUCUCGAUGAUUCAACUACAGGCAGGAUACUGUACAAUCUGAUUUCCUGGAUUAUUGGUGCAACUGAGGAACCAACACUGGCCCAUUAUGUUGAUAUUCCAAAUGAUUUGAACCUAAAAGUGAUAUCUGUUUGUCAGGACAUUGUGUAUCUCGCACCUAAGGACUGGAGGCAGAUUGGAAGAUGUUCCUGUAUGUCUGCAAGACUUUCUUGUACUGAUUUUUGUCAGUGCCAAAAUUGUGCAAAUGUUUCCCAGGAAACAGAGGAAAGAACUACAUGUGGUAGGGAUGAUACUGAUGAGUAAAGACAUGCUGUGCAUUAUUUUAGACUGAUUUUGAGCUGUAAUGAAUCUUUUGUAGAAUUGUUCAUUUUUAGCAUUAUUCAUAAUUAAGGGGGGUGUGGUCACAUUUUGAGUCAUUUCAGCCAACCUGGGCCAAAGUGUGCUGCUUCUUUAUAUUUGUGUGAUUACACAGUGCCUAUACUGAAAAUUUUGAUGUAUAAUACAUCACAGUUUUGCUAAAUUUACAAUGUGUAUAUUUAAUUUUGCUUGGUGGCAAUCCGUUAAUUUGAAUUGUAUUUUCUACAAAUUUGCCAUAUUUCAUGGUCUACAUUCACACUUCAGUAUAUAAUGCACCAGUACCUGUCUCAAAUGUUUAGGUACAUGUAUAAAGGUCAGUUUGAGAGAGAUUUUGUGUUGCUAAAAUGAAUAUAAAUAAAGUUAUAAGCAAAACUAGCAGCAUAAGAUUUUCGUUUUUUAAAUUCACAAUUAUACACAUUUAUGGAUUGUAACAAAAAACUGCAGGAUAUUUUGUGGAGAACUUUUAACAUAAAGUCCAUAAGGGUGUUGUCUAUGCAAAAAUGCAUUUAAAAAGUAGUCACUUUUUCUAGAGUUCACUUUAUGGCUAAAUAUAACUAAAUAUGAGGUAAAAGUGUA